AUUGAACGCUGGCGGCAUGCCUUACACAUGCAAGUCGAACGGCAGCACGGGAGCAAUCCUGGUGGCGAGUGGCGAACGGGUGAGUAAUAUAUCGGAACGUGCCCAGUCGUGGGGGAUAACGUAGCGAAAGCUACGCUAAUACCGCAUACGAUCUAUGGAUGAAAGCGGGGGAUCGCAAGACCUCGCGCGAUUGGAGCGGCCGAUAUCAGAUUAGGUAGUUGGUGAGGUAAAGGCUCACCAAGCCGACGAUCUGUAGCUGGUCUGAGAGGACGACCAGCCACACUGGGACUGAGACACGGCCCAGACUCCUACGGAGGCAGCAGUGGGGAAUUUUUGGGACAAUGGGCGCAAGCCUGAUCCAGCAAUAGCCGCGUGCAGGAUGAAGGCC
rnacentral:rRNA from 1 species